rnacentral:rRNA from 1 species
GACGAACGCUGGCGGCGUGCUUAACACAUGCAAGUCGAACGGGCCUUGUCCCCUUUUUUUUUGGGGGUGGGGUUAGUGGCGAACGGGUGAGUAACACGUGAGUAACCUGCCCCUCACUUCUGGAUAACCGCUUGAAGGGGUGGCUAAUACGGGGUGUUCUGGCCUGCUCGCAUGGGUGGGUUUGGAAAGAUUCGACCGGUUUUGGUUGUUUUGGUGGGGGAUGGGCUCGCGGCCUAUCAGCUUGUUGGUGGGGUGAUGGCCUGCCAAGGCUUUGACGGGUAGCCGGCCUGAGAGGGUGGGCGGUCACACUGGGACUGAGACACGGCCCAGACUCCUACGGGAGGCAGCAGUGGGGAAUAUUGCACAAUGGGCGCAAGCCUGAUGCAGCGACGCCGCGUGAGGGAUGGAGGCCUUCGGGUUGUGAACCUCUUUCGCCAGUGAAGAAGGUCCUGCUCUUUGUGGUGGGGUUGACGGUAGCGGGGUUAAUGAAGCGCCGGCUAACUACGUG